CUUGUACACACCGCCCGUCACACCAUGGGAGUGGGCGAUACCAGAAGUAGGUAGCCUAACCGCAAGGGGGGCGCCUACCACGGUAUGGUUCAUGACUGGGGUG
rnacentral:rRNA from 1 species